UACUAGCUUUGGAGUAGAUAUGGCCGCCCUGCCAGACUGUCAUUUUACUGAUUUUCGCCGCCCAGGGACACUGUAGAUGAGUUCCCCGCUGGUCCACGCCGCCAUUAGGACACCGGGCACUGAGUCACCGUGGGAGGGAUUCAAAGAAAACGGGAGGAGGAGGUGGUGGAGGAGGAGGUGGAGGUGGAGGAGGUGGAGGAGGAGGAGGAGGAAGCACUGGAUCCCUUGAGACUCCUCCACACCCUCACACGAAGGGGAGACUUC